GUUGUUUUCCCACGCAUAUGUAAUCAAGAAGAUAAUAAACUGUUGAAACUGAAGACAAAAGGAAAAACAAGAGGAGGAAACAACAGUACUCUAGCACUUCAAGAAGUGUACAGAAAUUAUAAAAAGAUGGCUAGUUUGGCCAUGUAUUGGAAUAUAGGAAUCAAGAAAAGGGCAGUAACAGUUGCUAGUUUUGCAAAAGAGAAUGAAAAAAGAGUAGAGGUAGCAGAGAAAGUGAAAAAAUCAAAAGUUGUAAUAUUAGGUGGAACUGGAAGAGUUGGUGGCUCUACUGCUAUUGCUCUCUCUAAGCUAUGUCCUGACCUUCACAUUAUUAUUGCUGGUCGAAAUCGGGAGAAAGGGGCUGCCAUGGUGUCAAAACUAGGGAAGAACUCAGAAUUCGCUGAAGUAAAUAUAGACGAUAGAGAAGCAUUAGAAGCCAAUUUGACAGAUGCGGACAUUGUGGUUCAUGCUGCUGGACCAUUCCAACAGUCUGCAAACUGUAAAGUACUAGAAGCUGCCAUUGGGACCAAGACGGCCUAUCUUGAUGUUUGUGAUGACACAAGCUAUGCAACACGGGCGAAGUCCUAUAUGGAUAAAGCACUGGAGGCCAAUAUUCCUGCCAUAACUACUGGUGGAAUCUACCCAGGAGUGAGCAGUGUGAUGGCAGCAGAGCUUGUUCGCACUGCAAAACUUGAAAGUGAGGGUGAAUUAGAGAGGCUGAGAUUCUACUACUACACUGCAGGCACCGGUGGUGCUGGACCUACUAUUUUAGCUACUAGUUUUUUGCUUCUUGGAGAGGAUGUAGUUGCAUAUAAUAAAGGAGAGAAAAUCAAAUUGACGCCAUAUAGUGGAAUGCUUACUAUUGACUUCGGAUUAGGGAUCGGCAAGAAGGAUGUUUACUUCCUAAACCUGCCAGAGGUGAAAAGUGUGCAUGAGGUCCUUGGAGUACCAACCGUUAGUGCUCGGUUUGGAACAGAUCCAUUCUUCUGGAACUGGGGAAUGAUUGCUAUGAGAAAUUUACUUCCUCAAGAAUUCCUGAGGGAUAGAAGCAAAGUGCAACAGUUGGUUCAGCUAUUCGAUCCAGUUGUUCGAGCCGUUGACGGAACAGCUGGAGAGACAGUCUCAAUGCGAGUAGAUUUGGAAUGCUCAGACGGACACAACAGAAUUGGCAUAUUUAGUCAUAAAAGUCUUUCUAGAUCAGUGGGAAUUUCAACUGCUGCAUUUGUCCUUGCUAUUCUUGAGGGAAGCACAAAACCUGGUGUCUGGUUUCCUGAAGAGCCAGAAGGAAUUUCAGUUGAAGCAAGGGAAGUUCUUCUCCAAAGAGCUUCCCAAGGAACUAUAAACUUCAUAAUGAACAAGGCUCCGUGGAUGGUAGAAACAAAUCCUAAAGAGCUCGGUUUUGGGAUUUAUUCAUAAAUUCAGUAUAGAGAUUUGACAGAUCAAGUUGCUUAACACUUUUUCUAUGUGACCAAUCAAUAUUUGUUACAAAUUUUUACCAGUGUCAAGAGCGUGGAGCCAAAAUGCACUGUCGCCUUGGAAGAUUAAAAAUUUUACAUUAUCUUUACCAAUUAAAAGUGAAAAUAAAACAAUGAGAUCUCAUUUAAUUGUUUCCCUUUCCUUUUCUCUUCCUUAAUUAUCUUCUUUUGCGUAGCUGGAGUAAAAUUCUACGAGAGAAGUCUAUUGAAUGACAAUGCUAAGACACAGUUGAUAAUGUAAUAAUAUAUAUGUAAAGCAGUUCUAUGUUGAUUAGUUUAGUUUUAGA